UGGCAAGAGAGAAAACUUCUGCUCUACCUGUGACAAUCAUAACUACAUAUUGUUCAUAAUAUGGAUAUACCAUUCACUUAAUGUCAGCAAAACUGCUCAGACUACUAAAGGAGCAUAUUUGUGGGCAUGUCUGACUUGUAUGAAGAUGUGCAUAUGUAAAUGAUGUCAUCAUUUUUUUCAAGAUUGGAUACACUUUGGAUGUACCACAUUGGUCCCAUGAACAAACUUGGCAAAGAGAAGUCAGCCCAUCUUGGCAACAUGGAUGGGGGAACUGAAAAUGGCCAUCUGGUCUUGAAUUGGGAAUUGUGGAUAGGAUUUAGAAUCAUAGGCUAUGUCAGGAGAG
rnacentral:lncRNA from 1 species